rnacentral:rRNA from 1 species
UGCAUAUCAAAAAGCGGAGGAAAAGAAACCAACAGGGAUUGCCUUAGUAGCGGCGAGUGAAGCGGCAAAAGCUCAAAUUUGAAAUCUGGCUCUUUCAGAGUCCGAGUUGUAAUUUGAAGAAGGUAUCUUUGGGUCUGGCUCUUGUCUAUGUUUCUUGGAACAGAACGUCACAGAGGGUGAGAAUCCCGUGCGAUGAGAUGAUCCAGGCCUAUGUAAAGUUCCUUCGAAGAGUCGAGUUGUUUGGGAAUGCAGCUCUAAGUGGGUGGUAAAUUCCAUCUAAAGCUAAAUAUUGGCGAGAGACCGAUAGCGAACAAGUACAGUGAUGGAAAGAUGAAAAGAACUUUGAAAAGAGAGUGAAAAAGUACGUGAAAUUGUUGAAAGGGAAGGGCUUGAGAUCAGACUUGGUAUUUUGUAUGUUACUUCUUCGGGGGUGGCCUCUACAGUUUAUCGGGCCAGCAUCAGUUUGGGCGGUAGGAGAAUUGCGUUGGAAUGUGGCACGGCUUCGGUUGUGUGUUAUAGCCUUCGUCGAUACUGCCAGCCUAGACUGAGGACUGCGGUUUAUACCUAGGAUGUUGGCAUAAUGAUCUUAAGUCGCCCGUCUUGAAACCACGGACCC